rnacentral:rRNA from 1 species
CCUACGGGCGGCAGCAGUGGGGAAUAUUGCACAAUGGGGGAAACCCUGAUGCAGCGACGCCGCGUGAGUGAAGAAGUAUUUCGGUAUGUAAAGCUCUAUCAGCAGGGACGAAAUAAAGUCCUUCGGACUUUGGACGGUACCUGACUAAGAAGCCCCGGCUAACUACGUGCCAGCGGCCGCGGUAAUACGUAGGGGGCAAGCGUUAUCCGGAUUUACUGGGUGUAAGGGGAGGGUAGACGGCAGCGCAAGUUUGGAGUGAAUUCCCAUGGCUUAACCAUGGAACUGCUUUGGAAACUGUGCAGCUGGAGUGCAGGAGAGGUAAGCGGAAUUCCUAGUGUAGCGGUGAAAUGCGUAGAUAUUAGGAGGAACACCAGUGGCGAAGGCGGCUUACUGGACUGUAACUGACGUUGAGGCGCGAAAGCGUGGGGAGCAAACAGGAUUAGAUACCCUUGUAGUC